rnacentral:rRNA from 1 species
GAUGAACGCUAGCGGCAGGCUUAACACAUGCAAGUCGAGGGACGGGCGCACGGGUGAGUAAGACGUAUCCAACCUGCCCUUUACUCGGGGAUAGCCUUUCCAAAGAAAGAUUAAUACCCGAAGUAAAGGAUGGGGAUGCGUUGCUUUAGGUUGUUGGUGAGGUAACGGCCAACCAAGCCUUGGAUGGAUAGGGGUUCUGAGAGGAAGGCCCCACACAUAGGAACUGAGGCCCGGUCCACACUCGUACGGCAGGAAGCAGUGAUGAAUAUUGGUCAAUGGUCGUUAGCCUGAACCAGCCAAGUAGAGUGAAGGAUGAUUGCUUUUGGGUCGUAAUCUUCUUUUAUAUAAGAAUACGUUUUAUAUGAAUAAGGAUCGGCCAACUCAGUGCCAGCCGCCGCGGGAAUUC